rnacentral:rRNA from 1 species
UACGAAGGGGGCUAGCGUUGCUCGGAAUCACUGGGCGUAAAGCGCACGUAGGCGGAUUGCUAAGUCAGGGGUGAAAUCCUGGAGCUCAACUCCAGAACUGCCUUUGAUACUGGCGGUCUCGAGUCCGGGAGAGGUGAGUGGAACUGCGAGUGUAGAGGUGAAAUUCGUAGAUAUUCGCAAGAACACCAGUGGCGAAGGCGGCUCACUGGCCUGGUACUGACGCUGAGGUGCGAAAGCGUGGGGAGCAAACAGG